rnacentral:rRNA from 1 species
UCAAGAAGCUUCCACAAUGGGCGAAAGCCUGAUGGAGCGACGUCGCGUGAUGGACGAAGUGCUUCGGCACGUAAACAUCUUUUUAUGUGGGAUGAAAUUAUUGACAGUACCACAUGAAUAAGGGGCUCCUAACUCUGUGCCAGCAGGAGCGGUAAUACAGAGGCCCCAAGCGUUAUCCGGAAUCACUGGGCGUAAAGGGUGUCGAGGCGGUUGUAUUAGUCGUUCGUAAAAUCUACGAGCUUAACUUGUAGGCGGCGAACGAAACGGUACGACUUGAGGUUUGGAGAGGUGCGUGGAACUCACGGUGUAGGGGUGAAAUCCGUUGAUAUCGUGGGGAACACCAAAGGCGAAGGCAGCGCACUGGCCAAAAUCUGACGCUCACACACGAAAGCUAGGGUAGCGAAGAGGAUUAGAUACCCGGGUAGUCCCUGAGCGGGCUGGCAAGGCGCAU